rnacentral:rRNA from 1 species
CUUGGUCAUUUAGAGGAAGUAAAAGUCGUAACAAGGUUUCCGUAGGUGAACCUGCGGAAGGAUCAUUAUCGAACUGGGGAAGGCUGUCGCUGGCUCUCUCGAGCAUGUGCACGUCUUUUCGUCUCACACACCUGUGCACCCAUUGUAGGCCCUCGAAAGAGGAUCUACGUAUUUCAUACAACACCCACUUAGCAUGUCCAUAGAAUGUAAUCAUAGGAUCGUCCUACGGGGCGGUAUCUACGAAAUCAUACAACUUUCAGCAACGGAUCUCUUGGCUCUCGCAUCGAUGAAGAACGCAGCGAAUUGCGAUAAGUAAUGUGAAUUGCAGAUUUUCAGUGAAUCAUCGAAUCUUUGAACGCACCUUGCGCUCCUCGGUAUUCCGAGGAGCAUGCCUGUUUGAGUGUCAUCGAAUUCUCAACCAUGCCCCUUUGUCAAAAGGACAUGGUUUGGACUUUGGGAGCCUUGCUGGCCUUUUUGGUCAGCUCUCCUGAAAUGCAUUAGCGAUGGGUGGGCAAGUCUUCAUUAGAGACGUGCACGGCCUUCGACGUGAUAAUGAUCGUCGUGGCUGGAGCGUCUUUAUUCUUGCGAUCCGUCCUCGCUCACAAUCUCUGCUAGCCUUGGGUUAGCUUUUGGCUAUUAGUUCGGUCGCGAGACCUGACGAACGUCAGAGGUGCACCCCCAAGGACUGGUCGAUUUCGAAACUUGACCUCAAAUCAGGUAGGAUUACCCGCUGAACUUAAGCAUAUCAAUAAGCGGAGGAAAAGAAACUAACAAGGAUUCCCCUAGUAACUGCGAGUGAAGCGGGAUGAGCUCAAAUUUUGAAUCUGGCGGUCUUUGGCCGUCCGAGUUGUAAUCUAGAGAAGCGUCUUCCGCGCUGGACCGUGUACAAGUCUCCUGGAAGGGAGCGUCAUAGAGGGUGAGAAUCCCGUCUUUGACACGGACUACCAAGUGCUAUGUGAUGCGCUCUCGACGAGUCGAGUUGUUUGGGAAUGCAGCUCAAAUCGGGUGGUAAAUUCCAUCUAAAGCUAAAUACAGGCGAGAGACCGAUAGCGAACAAGUACCGUGAGGGAAAGAUGAAAAGAACUUUGGAAAGAGAGUUAAACAGUACGUGAAAUUGCUGAAAGGGAAACGCUUGAAGU